rnacentral:pre_miRNA from 1 species
UUAACUCAAAUUUUUAUGGAGUUUGAACGUUUGCCUACGUUUGCGUUAGGGACGGUGUUCCAACUGUAUACAAAUUUGAGUUA